AACGAACGCUGGCGGCAGGCUUAACACAUGCAAGUCGAACGCCCCGCAAGGGGAGUGGCAGACGGGUGAGUAACGCGUGGGAAUCUACCCAGUUCUACGGAACAACUGAGGGAAACUUCAGCUAAUACCGUAUACGCCCUACGGGGGAAAGAUUUAUCGGAAUUGGAUGAGCCCGCGUUGGAUUAGCUAGUUGGUGGGGUAAUGGCCUACCAAGGCGACGAUCCAUAGCUGGUCUGAGAGGAUGAUCAGCCACACUGGGACUGAGACACGGCCCAGACUCCUACGGGAGGCAGCAGUGGGGAAUAUUGGACAAUGGGCGAAAGCCUGAUCCAGCCAUGCCGCGUGAGUGAUGAAGGCCUUAGGGUUGUAAAGCUCUUUCAGUGGGGACGAUAAUGACGGUACCCACAGAAGAAGCCCCGGCUAACUUCGUGCCAGCCGCCGCAGUAAGAC
rnacentral:rRNA from 1 species